UACGAAGGGGGCUAGCGUUGUUCGGAAUUACUGGGCGUAAAGCGCACGUAGGCGGACUCUUAAGUCAGGGGUGAAAUCCCGGGGCUCAACCUCGGAAUUGCCUUUGAUACUGUGAGUCUUGAGACCGGAAGAGGUGAGUGGAAUUCCUAGUGUAGAGGUGAAAUUCGUAGAUAUUAGGAAGAACACCGGUGGCGAAGGCGGCUCACUGGUCCGGUUCUGACGCUGAGGUGCGAAAGCGUGGGGAGCAAACAGG
rnacentral:rRNA from 1 species